CCAAUGAGAGAGGUAGAGGCGACACGUCGCGAGUUUGAUAAACAAAGGACGGCACCGAAUCUGGUUGACUUUUUUUACUCUCCCUCUCCUCGAUUUGCCUCUGUUUUCACUCUAUAUAAACCGUUUAAUUGAUAUCGAGUUGAGAUUUUGAGAUGGGGAGAACACCUUGCUGCGACAGAGAUGACCUGAAGAAAGGCUCGUGGACUCCGGAAGAGGACCAAAAGCUCGUUGUCUGCAUACAGAAGCACGGCCAAGGAAACUGGAGGACUCUUCCUAAGAAAGCUGGGCUCGCAAGGUGUGGCCAGAGUUGCCGGCUCCGGUGGACGAACUACCUCCGGCCGGACAUCAAGCGAGGAAGGUUCUCGUUUGAAGAGGAAGAGACCAUCAUCCAGCUGCACAACAUGUUAGGCAAUAAGUAGAAUUCUUCUCUAACUUAUUUUUAGUGAGAAUUCUACCUCUGUUUUCAUUCUUCUGCUCUUCAAUAUCUAUUAGCUAUUAGCUUUUGAAGUAAAAAGAAUAUUGUUUAUUUUAUGGAUACUGUUGGAAUAUUUGUGAACAGUGAAUAUUUGUGUAUUUUAUGGAUCUAUUAGCUUUUGAUGUAAGAAGAAUAUUUAUGUAA